GAGCAGAAAAUUAGGAUGAAAUAAAAAUUUUAAUAAAAAUAGAAACCACAAAAGAAGCAAAGCCAGCGUGUUAAGGUUAUAAAUGCCAAUCCCAGUGUAGACUCUGGAGAUGUGCCGUUCAUGAAGGAGGAGUCGAUUCUUCCAAACGACUCUUUUAGGUGAAGUGGCAUAUAGGAGCGUUUUGGAGUCUUUUCUUUUUCUUUUCUUUUCAGGCAUGUAGACAAUGCUGUUAGUCGUGCAGUGGAAGUGAGUGGAAAUGGUUUGGUGUAAAGCUUUUUCCAGCAUCUGAGCUGUUGGUGAACGAAGCAGUAUCACCACCUGACGCUGUUCAUUAGAGCUCUGCUGUGAUUGGGGGAUGGCAGAGGAGAGAGAGGAUUUACACUCCAGCUGCCCACAGAGCAGUGGUGCUGGUGGCUAGAUGGUGUGCAGCAGCUGAGGUCUCCUCUUCACCUCCAGACCUGUUGUUGUGAAACUUUAGUUUGGUGAUUUGGUGCAUCUUUAUCUCAGUUGUGUUGAGACCAGUGAAGUAGAACUUCUGCCCUUUUGUCUCAUUGUUUACAUCUAUGAUUGAGACUUCCUAGAGAGAAGUGAGUGUUAAUUUAAGUAGCCUAAUGCAAAUAUUGAACUUUAUUAUUUAAUGUCUUUUGGUUGGGUUUAGUAGGAAGGUGGGUGCCGUUUUGUUUUGUAUUGCUGCUUUUCUCCUGUUUGUGUUAGUUUAGGGAGUUAGUUUAGCUUGCUGUAUUUUGUUUUCUUUUCUUUGUAGCUUAGCUAGUUGAUUAUAAAAGAGUUAGUUUUGUUAUGUUUGCUAUUUUGGCCUUGCCCCCUUCUGAAAUUGAUAGUCUUUUGUUAUUGCUUUUUGUUUUCUGAAUGAUGUGAAUAAAAACUUGUCUUGUGCUGCAUUUUGACCGUGGUUGUUUGGGUUAUUGUAACCAUUCUGGGCUUGGAGACGGGGUUCUCUCUGCCGUUGCACAGUCACUACCACCAACCAUUUAUUUCUGUUAGGAUCUUUUCCCUAGACUAACUCAGACCGUAUCAAUGAAAACAUGGCUAGUGUGUUAGAGACAGGACACUGAUUGCCAAUCAUUUUUGUAAUUGAGUAUACAGCAAGUUUUGUGGUUGAUAUAUGUAUAUACUGUGUUGUUUAAUUGUUUUAAAUCUAAUGUGUUGAUAUUUUAUUCAUAAAAUAUUAAUAAUUUAUAUUAAAGAUUAUAAAAAUGCAGAUAAAUCUCGUUGAAUGCCAUCAUGCAUACUCCACCAUUAUAACAGACUUUUUUUUUUUUUUUUUGGUGGAGCAGUGUUUCUUGUUCAAAAUGACAAAAUGCAUAUUUCUCAUUAAUUUAAAUCUUGUUUGUAGUUAUUUUCCACCUUUGAAAUAAAUGGGUAAACAAG